CCCAAGAGAUCGGGAUAACACCUGGAAACAGAUGCUAAUACCGGAUAACAACAGAUGAUGCCUAUCAACUGUUUAAAGAUGGUUCUGCUAUCACUCUUGGAUGGACCUGCGGUGCAUUAGCUAGUUGGUAGGGUAACGGCCUACCAAGGCGAUGAUGCAUAGCCGAGUUGAGAGACUGAUCGGCCACAUUGGGACUGAGACACGGCCCAAACUCCUACGGGAGGCAGCAGUA
rnacentral:rRNA from 1 species